rnacentral:rRNA from 1 species
UACGUAGGGCGCAAGCGUUAUCCGGAAUUAUUGGGCGUAAAGAGCUCGUAGGCGGUUUGUCGCGUCUGCCGUGAAAGUCCGGGGCUUAACUCCGGAUCUGCGGUGGGUACGGGCAGACUAGAGUGCAGUAGGGGAGACUGGAAUUCCUGGUGUAGCGGUGAAAUGCGCAGAUAUCAGGAGGAACACCGAUGGCGAAGGCAGGUCUCUGGGCUGUAACUGACGCUGAGGAGCGAAAGCAUGGGGAGCGAACGGG